UUCCGGUUGAUCCUGCCGGACCUGACUGCUAUCGGAUUGAUACUAAGCCAUGCGAGUCUUUGCAGUAAUGCAAGGCAUACGGCUCAGUAACACGUAGUCAACUUACCCUAUGGACGAGGAUAAUCUCGGGAAACUGAGCAUAAUACUCGAUAGAUCAUAAUGCCUGGAAUGGUUUAUGGUUAAAAUGAUUCGUCGCCAUAGGAUGGGACUGCGGCCUAUCAGCUUGUUGGUGAGGUAAUGGCCCACCAAGGCGAUUACAGGUACGGGCUCUGAGAGGAGAAGCCCGGAGAUGGGUACUGAGACAAGGACCCAGGCCCUAUGGGGCGCAGCAGGCGAGAAAACUUUGCAAUGUGCGAAAGCACGACAAGGUUAAUCCGAGUGAUUUCUGCUAAAGAAAUCUUUUGCAAGUCAUAAAACCACUAGUGAAUAAGGGGUGGGCAAGUUCUGGUGUCAGCCGCCGCGGUAAAACCAGCACCUCAAGUGGUCAGGAGGAUUAUUGGGCCUAAAGCAUCCGUAGCCGGCUCUGUAAGUUUUCGGUUAAAUCCAUGUGCUCAACGCAUGGGCUGCCGAAAAUACUGCAUAGCUAGGGAGUGGGAGAGGUAGACGGUACUCGGUAGGAAGGGGUAAAAUCCUUUGAUCUAUCGAUGACCACCUGUGGCGAAGGCGGUCUACCAGAACACGUUCGACGGUGAGGGAUGAAAGCUGGGGGAGCAAACCGGAUUAGAUACCCGGGUAGUCCCAGCUGUAAACGAUGCAGACUCGAUGAUGCAUUGGCUUAUUGCCAAUGCAGUGUCGCAGGGAAGCCGUUAAGUCUGCCGCCUGGGAAGUACGUACGCAAGUAUGAAACUUAAAGGAAUUGGCGGGGGAGCACCACAAGGGGUGAAGCCUGCGGUUCAAUUGGAGUCAACGCCGGG
rnacentral:rRNA from 1 species